CGAGGAGACGGAGAGACUCACGGAGGAGCUGAGCUGUUACUGAACUAUAGAAGAGAGAGGAACUUCUAUAUUCAACAGAGAUCAAUACACACACCAUCAACAUUACCUUUAUUCAACAUGCUGCCACUGCAGCAUUGGGGGUUGUCUCUGAUGUUUCUCUCCAUCCUCACAGGAGUCAGCUGUGAAGAACUAACUCCAGUAGAGAAAGAAGAGAACAGUUUAGAAGACAGCUCUGUUACUCUGUCCUACAGAUACUCCAAAGGUUCUGCUGAUUAUUUCUUCUGGUAUCGACAAUAUCCAGGAAAACCACCAGAGUUCCUCAUCUCUCAUCUGGAAUCAGGAGAAAUAAUGCAAAAUACAAAGUCUGGACUGUCUGUUUCAGUGAGUGAGGAUAAAACCAGAAUGGAUCUCCAGAUCUCCUCUGCUGCAGUGCCAGACUCUGCUGUGUACUACUGUGCUGUGAGGCCCACAGUGACAGCAAACCCACAGUCUCUGUACAAAAACACAAGCUGACACACUGACAAGCUGAUGGAAG